CUUCCCCCCAUUUUUUUCAUUUCCCUCUCUUCUCCUGAAAACCCCUCCCUUUCGCCGACUUCCCCUUCAAUCUGUCCUCACCGAUCAUCCAUAGCAGAUCUGGAUCCACCAUGUUUUUCAUUUUUUUCAUUAAUCAGAUGUUGCACAGGCGUUGACCGGAUCUGGAAUUUCGAAGCUGGAAGGCUUGACUGGACUGGCAGGUGAUUCUGCGCAGGUGAAGGUCUUUACCGGAUCUGGAACAAAAGAGCGUCAAAGCUCACCAGAGGAACUCGGGUUGGGUAUAGAGAACCAGAUCUUGAAGCUCACCAGAGGAACUCACAUGGAGAAUAAAAGGUUGUGUCGAAGCUCACUGGAUUUGGCGUAGCCAUAGUAGAUUUACAGAUUUACUUCACGCGUAGCCAUAGCAGAUCUGGCGUUCUUCACACAUAGCCAUAGUAGAGCUAGUUGUCUACUUCUAGGAGAUCCACCAUCCAUUCCGUCGAAGCCCAACCGUUUGUUCCGUUGUUAAAGGUACAAGUCGAUCGUUGUAGCUCAGAUCCCUUUCGUCGUAGCUCAGUCGGUCGUUGUGGCUCAGAUCCUUGUUCUUUCAACUCAUAUCUAUUUCAAUCUUUAAUCUCUGGGUUAGAUCCGUUCAAAGACGUUUAGGAGUGAAGCUUGAGGUUUUUUUUUUCUACUGGGUUUCUACUGCGGAAACAAAUAUUUGACAGAGAAGUUGAGAAAUUUUAAUUUGGGGGUUAAGAAAAAGGUUCUAGCUAAGUAAUUUCUAUGAUUUUGAUAUUAUUUGAGAUUUAUGUUAAGGUACAAGUAGGGUAAUGAUGAAUUGGAAUCCAGGACAUAUUGUGCAAUGACUGUGAGCAGAAAGGCACAUCUCGGUUCUAUUGGCUAUAUCAUAAAUGUGGGUUUUAUGGAUCAUACAACAAUUUUUCAAGUUCAAUUUUUCGUGCCUAUAUGAAAAUCUUACCAUCUAUACCUCACUGAUAUCCUUGAGGUCUUUUACUAUGCCCAAAAAGUUGUACUUCAUCCAACAGGUCCACUUCUUGAUCAAGAAACUCAGACUCUAAAGCCUAGGGUGAGCUUGUGGGUGCUUUAGAAGGGGCUAUAGCAUCAGCUUCUCUUCUUGGAGUUCCUCUAGGACAUAAUUCAUCAUUAUUCAUUGUAGCAGAAUAGUUCUCGCACCUCGCUCAUUCGUGCACUUUCGACGGAUAUAAGGCCCGAAGAAAUUCCAAACGUGAAGAUGCUCUUUCUUCUGCAUUUACUACUGCAGAGUUGAAGCGUUACAUUGCAUAUGCAAAAACUGAAACCAAAGUUAAGUUUAUAAGCCAGAAAGGUAUUGGUGGACUCUUAUGUUGCUCUUUGCAGAGGAGAUACAACUCCUGGAAGUAGGGUUGCUUAUCGCAUGACAGUCAGGCAGCUUGAGGAUGAAGUAAUUGCUCGUAGUUAUUUGGAGACUCUGGUUCAACCGCGCCAUAUGCGUUUAGCAGUGACUUUACUGAAAACGUCAAUAAUCAGG